GAGUCAGGAAAGCGCGCGCCUGUUUCGAGGUUCGGGUGUCCACAGAAAAGUGCGGCAGCUUACAGAUGGCGUCCCUCGAGUGGGCAUGGCUUUGAAUAAGGACUGAAGAACAGCGUUCUGCCGUCUGUGGAUCUACCACGAGAAACCCAAAGAGAGACCUGAGGACAAGGCGAGAUCAAGAGACCCCGCGGGUGCGGCAGAG